rnacentral:lncRNA from 1 species
UGGGUUGGUAUAUACUUAUACCUUAGUAAUCAGGUGCUAAUAAAAUUUGGCCAACUAAAAAUGCUUAAUGCAGUAAACCGGUCAGCCUUUCCUUGUUUAACCUUGCAUUCAUAUUCUCCUCACACUUGCUGAGUACGACAAGUGCUCACCCUUGCUAUAAACAACGUUCCUCAGAAGAAGAAGCUGCUAUGAAGUUGUUGUGAAGAUGGUGCUGAGUUCUAGGCGUACGCAGCCCCCAGUCGAUUGCCUGUGAAGUUUGGAGCUCCGUUUCCAUAAUUAAGGUGUAUAUCUCUGAUGAUUUGUAAGUCUUUAUUUGUAUCUUUUCACGUGAUACUGUUGCUGUUAUUCACUUAUGAUGUCACUAUAUAUAUGAAAUUUGAUCCUGGCAUACAUAUAGGUAGCAUUCGGUUUUGCCUUUAAAACCGGGUGUGACAGAAGUGGUAUCAGAGCCGUAUCGACUGUAGGACGUAAGCCUAGAUAGCAAUGGUCACUUCCUAAGGUCUAUUUUACUAUAUAAACAAUUCCUGCCUUAUCCUUGACCUUUCUGAAAAAUAUUCUCACUCCUUGAUCAUUUUCUUUUCUCAAAUCCUCCUUGAUAACUUGAGCUCUUUUCAUUUGCACUUCUUGUCUUGCAAAUGUUAGACCCUCAAUCCUUGUCUAUUUAUUUCCUCUCUCCUUGAACACUGCUUGCUCUUGAUCAUGCAUCUCCUUCUUGAUGAAUGAUCUUACCUGUUUGAUGCAAUGCACCUCCUUGAUUUCUUAGUGAUAUUGCUACUCUCUAAUCCCCUGUUCAUUUAUCUCCUUAAUGUUUUCCUUACUUACUUAUCCUUGUAAACCUAUCUCUUCCUUAACUUUAUUUUCAGUAUAUCCAUCUUCCCCAUUGUACCUCUCGUUGCUUUUCGAAUAAAUGCU